UCUCUGAUCCCUCUUGUCAUCCCUGCAGCUUCCAAGGUUUACAACGAGGAUGUAUGCCAAGCUUCCACAUGCUCACUAGCCACCCACUGGCAAGUGCCACGAACCUCAGCCUUUACCUAUAUAAUAACUGCAGCUUGAAAUCAGCAUCUUAUUCCUGGAAAGUGGGGUCCAUCCAUCCAUCAUCUUGAUUGGCAGUCAAAACAAGAACAUUGCAUUACCAGAAAGCUAAAGGCAAGGGUUCGUGGUGAUAAAAUGAUUUGUGUGGCCACAAAGCUAAAGUUAAAGAAUUGGAAGCCAACAAACUACAGUGGUCUUUAUGCAACAGUAAGUCCUUUCCUCUUGACCCAGCAAAGGGUGAUUUUGAAGCUUUGCCUGUCCAGGAAUGCACUUCUGGUGAAGAAAACUCCUCUCUUUAUCUACAUGAGGGAAAAUGAAGAACCACUGUUCUGUUUCUGCUCCAGCUUUUUAACAUAAAACUUGACAUGUGAAGCCUGUAUUAUAGAAAAAAAUAUUAUUGCCCUUUCAGUGUCAACUAUGCUAGCUCUUUUCUCAGAGUCUUGCACUCUAGAAAUGAUUUUAUAUAGAGGCAAAAAACAGUUCUGGUUGAUAGUUUGCUUCCUUCAAAAUACUUUAGUAAAGUAACUACCUACCCCUACAUAUCUAUUGGAGAACCUAACAAAUUAAUAUGUCCUUGAAACAUGUCUCUCAAAACUUCUUAUAUGAAAGUUCCUGGCAGAAAAACCAGGAUAUAUAUGUGUGCUGUAAUGAAGAAUUAAUAGAAAACAACUUGGAAAAUUCCCCCAUGGGAAUUUUUCUUGUCCUUAAAAGGGCCAAUUUAUAGAUAAUCAUCUUAAUGCCACUAUGUAAAGCAGCUGAUGCACAACAGCUAAUAGUCAUUUUGUGUUUGAGUACAUCCUCAUGUUUUAAAGCAAAACAAACGAACAAAACAGAUGCACAGAAUGGCUGGAAAGGGGAUAUAUUGCCUCUUUUCUAAUGUUCCUUCUGGAGUAAGAGGAGAAGAUUGAGGCUUAAAAGGACAAAGCAAAAAACCAAGCCUGGGGCAAUUGGGUUUAUAUGGCAUCCCCAGUCUUCCCUAGGGAAUUCAGCAGCAAAAGGGACAAUAGCUUUCUCCAAGUCAAGCUUUUACCCAAAGGGAACAAAAGUGAUAGUUAAAAGGUGUAUGUAUAACUUUCCACCACUUAGAUGAACAAAGACUAGACAUGCUCAGGAAGGGCUUCUUCACUAGUUCUCUGGUGUGUUAUCCACAGUUAAGGUGGAAAUUGUGAUUUUAACAUGUUUACAGAAGAUUCUUUGUCUCUAUUGUGUGUGAUUUAUAUAGGACAUUUGCUUUCAGCAUGGGAUCAUAGCUGACCUUUAGCCACACUAUACCAGGGUGGGUGGCUUCCUGUUUUUUUUUUAAAAAAAAGUCUUACGUACUUUCUUGUGCUGAACCCUGGAGCCCUUAGUAGUGCACCUUAUUUCAAUCAUAUUAAAAUGUGAAUUUAGGUUUGCCAACUGAUUUAAAAAACCCUCAAUCUAGAUUAAAAAUGGGAGUACAUAUUUGUAAUAGUGGCCAGUCAUGGCUAACAAAAUUUUGAAACUACCUGAUGCCUGGUGAGAAGUUGCAAAGGCAUUUUCUAUGAAGGAAAGCAGUGGCUGAUUGGAGAAUACAUUUCCUGUUGUGCGGUUUUAUAAUCAUACAUUUAAUAAGAGGAGCAUACCAAAAUAAGCUCUCGUACUUGAUAAUUAUUUCUCAUCUGAUUUAAUAAUAUAUAUUAUCAAAAGAUGCACAAAAAUACUUAAAUUUUACUCAGCUGCUUUUCUUGAUUGAAAAUUUAAUUUGGAAAAAAAAUGGAAUGUUUGACAGAAUGCUCAAUGUGCUAAUUUGUAGCUGCAGAACAUAAUCGGAUCUUUGACUGGUCAGCAUAGAAAGGGAAAUGGUCAUGGUUGGCUAGCUUGUCAUUCAGAAUCAGAUUAGCUUUGAAUUACACUGAAAUCCUGAGACAAAUAGAAGUGCAAAAUGUAAUGUCAUUGGAUAUCCUCGUAGGAUGUUCUGAACAGGAAUUCCUAUCAAAUUCACAGGAUUCUAGAUGUAGGACCAGGCAUCUUAAUGAAAUGUAAGUUGUUCUCUGCAUUUUCUGAUACUGAAAAUUUAGAAGGCAUCUAGCGUGAUGAUAGUUUGAUCAGUCUGGAUUUUAUGUUAUCUUAGCUACUUACACCUCAGAAAUAUUACUUCUAAAAGAAUAUGUAGUACAGAGUGGGAACAUUUAGUUUUCCCAAGUUGUUCAAAUGACUAUAAGAGAGUGGACGUACCAGUUGCACAAAACUCCAGCCAAGAAAUUUACCCAUCCACCCCUUUUACUCUAAACCCCAUUCUAACUAUGUACCUAUUUACGCUGAACGGGACUACAUUAGGAAUGAAUUUAAAGUCUUGGAGAAACAACGUCUGCUGUACUUGCCCAGGAAAUCCUAUUGCAGUACUUGUCCUGUAGCAUCUUCUUAACAGUACUGUGCAAAGGCAAUAUUGCCUUAAUUUUUUUGGUUUUACAUAUCGAUCUGCAUCUGUUUCUCCAUGUUGGCAGGAAAUCUUUCCCAUAUGAAAGAUUAAACAAAUACGGGGCAUGUGCAAUAGUAUAAUAUAUACAUAUAAAUAUAUUUUAAUACUUGUGGACAAAAUGUUACAAGUUGUUUGAGAACAACAAAAUCACCAAUGUCUUCCAUUUUGAGAUGUGUAUAGUUCCAUAAGCAUUAGUGCUUUGUAGCAAAACUGUAGUGCCAUGUUAGGAUCAGUGCAUGAGCCUAGUAGUGCUUUUUUUACAAUUUCAGAGUGACAAAUUAACAAUGCUGAUGGUGUAACUCAUAAGAAACUGACAAAAUUAUGAUCACGGUCUUCAGAUGCAGUGUCCUUUCUAGGCAAUGGUAGCAGAAACGGAUGUAUCAAAUCAUUAAUGUGAGUUGGAGGGUGAAUGGAAAUUUUAUCUGUAAGUAUCCAGGUAAAUUUUAGCUUCAUCUAACAGAAACUACAGAGAACCUCAGAUUGUUAGUGACACAGUCCUUAAAGUCCUUUCUCUGUGAAUGAAUAUUUUGCUAUAAUGAGAAAAAUAACUUGGACUCCUUGGGUGCAAUCCUAUACAUGUUUCAACAGGAAAAAGGUCCUAUAACUCCCAGCAUUCCCCAGCCAGCCAUGAGAGCUGUAGGACUUUUUUUUGCCUAAACAAGGAUUGCAUCUUUAAAUUUCAGUGAGUAGCAUGAGCUUAUGGCUAAUCACUCCCUCUAUUUCUUGUAAAAAUGUCCCUCCAUAUAUCUUUGUUUUCGAUUCAGAAGGCCCUGGUUGUUUGAAUCAGUUACCAAUAGUUGUAUAUGUUCUUGAACUACUCUUCUGUCAAGGUAUCACUGUAGCUUUUGAUUAAGGGUAACAUCUUGCAAAAUUGACUAAAUCAGAAAUGAUAUUUGUCAUUGAUACUAGAUUAUUAAUAAUGUCCAGUGUUAAAAGCAAAUUAUUUAAAGUUUCUAUUUACCUAGAAAAAGCAAUUGUAGGAGUUUCCUGGUAACUUUAGCUGUUGGAUCAUAUUUCAUUCUUGCAAUCCAAACACAUUUACUUGCAUUGUUAUUUAUGUCCGUAGGAUGUCUCCUUUCUUUUCAGAGAAUGCUCCAAGUUGGUGACGCUCACCUACUUAGCCUCUUGCUCUAGGUUCCAGCAAGUCAUUUGGAUAAGUUUUAAGUCAAGUGUCUGAUUCUUUGUAGAUCUCUAUUUUAGACUGCUUUACUUCUCUCAUUUAAAAAAUUAAUACUUUUAGCCUAAAGAGGAUACUGCAUCUUUCUCUUGGUCUUGUCUGUAAAUGGCCACCUUGGUGAGGGAAGAAAUGUUUCUGGCUUUGAGUUGAUUAUUGACUAACAAUUCACAGGAAACAUGUAAUUUACUAUGAAGCAAGAGAUCUUGCAGAAUUAGUUUUACGUUUAAAGGUCUCUGGCUAUUCUCUCAUAUAAAUUGGGCAGGUGGAUUGUUUACAUAUGAACUGUGAGGACCUGAGCUAUGUCAAGGUUCUGUUGUGUAUUUGUACCAUUGAAUGAAGUAGUUCUAGUGCUUGGGAGAAUCAAUUGAUGGAAAAAUACCUCUGAAACUGGAAUGCAAAAUAGCACAGUAUGUAGGGGGAAGAAUCCCUGAUGCAAAUAAAGCCAUAAGAUGACUUAAUAAAUAGAACUUUAGUAGCAAUAACUGUCUGCAUGUAAUAGGAACUAACUUGCAUUAGCAAGAAUUGUACAGUAGAAUAAAUGGUACUAACCAAAUAGGUUUGUGGUGCUCUGUGUUGCAGGGAGUUGCCUGACAAGAUGUGUUUCUCUUUAAAAGGCUGAAAAAUUGCUCUCCUCUAAGGAACUUGGCACUUGAAUACUCCAGUUCAGGGUCUGGUAUAAUUACCAGAAUAGCUAUUUUGUUUAUCAGAAUUGGGGCAACUAGGAAAGAAGCUUAUUGUGCAUGAAGAAGUGGAUGAAUCCUUAUCCUGCUUGUCUGUAGAUAGUGCAUGGUUGAUAUGCAGCUCUUUCAAGGCUGUGAACAGGGCUAGGUUCUGCCCAGAUAUAUAAUGGAGGAAACUGUGGAAGGUUGUUGCCAUUACUUGAAACUGGUUUGACGUGUCAUAUUUGCUGAGGAAUAUAGGCAAAAUAGUUCAUCCAAAUAUUUCUACCAAGAGUUGUGGAUGUCUUUUGAAAAUGUACUUUUUUAAAACUUGUAAACUUGUGAUAUGGUUUCACUUUUUCUUAGUUUAACAAAGCUGCUUUUGGACUUGGAAUGGGGAGAGCAACUUUCAGUUUUGGGAUGGCUGGCAAUCUUUUAGAGAGCAUGCAGUUUAUACCUCCUUAAAAUACAGCUUGCACUAUCCUUGUAUGCAUGUGCAUACUGAAGACUUAAGGAAACUGUAAGUCUAAUAUGUAACUGCCUUAAGGAGGAUUAAUUUGACCAGAUUCAUCUGCAAGGUUGGUAUGUAUACUUGAGGAUGGUGGCUUUACUUUUAUUUCUGUUCUUAAUUACGAGGUAUCCAUUAUCUACCAGCAGUUUGAUUAACACAGUCUUGUGUUAAGGUGGAAUGAGGAAGCUCCUGUUUUAAAAGUAGCAUCUACAUAUAUUCUGUACAAAGCUCUACCCCUACAAAUAUAUACUAGAAUAUGAAAAUUAAUAAGUUUCCAAAAUAAUGUCUGGAAAUUGAAUCUGAAUCAAGCAUGAACUUGUCCUGUAUAUGUGGAUAGUCAAUCAAACUUGUAUAACUAUUCUGCUCACAUAAAAUCUAUAGGAAGCUUUUACUGUUAAUCUAGCAAACAAAAACAUUCCCAGGACUUGGCUAGCUAAGGAAAUUAUUUGUACUUCAUUACCCACUUGAUUGUUCUGAACACACAUUGGGAAAAUCCUAAAGGCAUCUCAUGGUUAUUGCAGUAGAACUUGUAUUGCUCUAAAACUUUUGAACAGCUGGUUUGCAAAUGCUUUUCACUAUUUACAAAACUGGUGUUAGGCUGACAUCACAGUACUGCUGCUCAAUUUAGUAAGUAGUCAAAAUUUAGCUUAGUAUUUGGGUCAUGAAUGUGUGGACUUCUUAACUGCAUGCAAGAUUUGCUGCAUUAGCCAUGGCGCUAUUCAGGAAGAUCUACUUAGGAUGUGGUUAAUUGCUUGAAGAUGCUUGGCUAUUUAACAUAGUGUCAUUAUGGAGAACAAUGUAGCCUUGAUCUAUAAAAGUGUGAGGCUAUGAUAUCCUUCAGGGGGAUUGCACUUAAGCAGCUUACACCUCAGUAGUUGCUAUCAGCAGUUGUGGAGUUUGAAGUGUUGAAAUUUAUUUUCAUCUGCAGUUAAUGGGAGAAAAGAUCCUUCUCUAAAGUGGCUCUUCAUGGCACUUAAGCGAUCCCUGUGUGUGUGUAUUUUCCUCCUCCUCUGCAUUGUAAUGAUUCUUUUGAUAGCUCUUAUCCUUUAACUGGAGAUCAGAGUUUCAUUCAAAGCACGUUGGAACGGCUGCACAAGGCUUGCUUGUUUAUGUUUCUCAGUUCUUCUAGUGGUAUGAUUAUUCUUUUAGCCUGUACUCUUAUUUUUUAAUGGUGAAACUCCUUUACUCAAUUUAUCCCUUUUAGACUUUUUUAUUUUCCUUCUUUGCUUUGCACUUUGAAGAGCAGUAAAUACAAAGGCAUAGGAAUCCAAGCACAAUAUUGACAAAGAAUACAUAGGUGCCAGUCUUUCACAACAGGCUUCCAGUAUACAGAUAGCAAGUUUGCAACUGGUUGUUCUGGGACCUUGCAACCAGGAUUUGGAGUAUCUAAGCUGAAUUAGGUGUUGUUGUUUUUAAUAUCAUACUAUUAGAGAGGUCUACAUCCUUUCUCUUUUUAUAUUUAUAGAAAUAAAUUUUCCCUUCCCUGAAAUUCAGGGAAAUGGCCUGUGGGGAUAUUUGUCCCACCCAAAGACUUCAAGAAUAAAAACCAGCUAUGAUCUGUGUGAAAAUAACUCCUUUGCAUGAAAAUUCUCCUUUUGACUAGAAUUUGGAAAGCAACAGACUAGAGAAUGAGACUUAUCAUACUCGGGAGGUGAGGGAAGGUAGAAUAUUUCCAGCAUACCAAGAGAAGAGAAGGAAGCGUGUGUUGACCUCAUUGAAUGGAGGCUUUCUAUAUGAGCACUUGCUAGUUGGUUUUAGGAGGAAUUCUCAAGUUUUCCAAGUCACAGCACAAUAAAUAUUUCACAAUGCUUAGCAUUUCUUACAGUCUGGAAGUUACAACUUAGCUGUGCUCCUCCAUGCAAAAAAAAAAAAAAAAAAGGGGGGGGAGGGGGUUGUAAAACAUUUGAAAAACAGUUGGAAUUGUGAAGCCCUCAGAAUUAAACAUUUGCAUGGAAAAAUGGCACAAGCACACAGGCUCACAAACCGUCUUUUAUAGAGCUAGUAUUCUAAUUAUGCAUGAUUAAGAUGUCUAGUGUUAUAGUUAUUACCAGUAAAUUGAUAUAUGCAUUUAUACAUUAUGAAGCAAUAGGAACUAAUAUACCAAUAGCUUGAAUUUACUGCUUUGAUUCUCAGAUUUUUGUUCUUAGAGAACAUGCCCCUUUAGAAAAGAGGGCAGAGUGUACAAAUGAGGGAAGAAGCAUGACACCAAAACUGUGUAUUGGAAAGUGGAAUCAGCAGAAUGAGCCCUUUUGACCUCUUACCAAGUUCACCGUGGUUCCUUGAGCCUGCAUAUGAACAUGGUUGAUGGCAAGAUGGGUUCUUGGCUGCUGCAAUUGUACAAAUAAAAAAGGUGCAGAGUUUCAUAGUACAGAGAAGGCAAUAGAUGAAACCCAAAUAGGGCAAUAGACAAAUUAUCUUAAGUAGUAGAGGAACUUUCAGAUAGCAGACAGAAUGAACCUUGGUCAGAGCCUGUUGCAGCAAAUAAACGAGUGAAUGAAAUCAGUAAGCAGUCCAUACUCUUCAGGUAUUGAAUCCUUUCAAGGAGAAGUCUUUCAGGAUUCUUUUACCUCCUAGGCAGCUAUACUAAGAUGUACUGGUUUCAAACCAGCAAUAAUGGUACUUUACAAGAAUCUGAAAAUUGGAAUUUUUUGUCUGAUAUGUCCUCAAGACAAGUUAGAACUCGCUAAGUAGAAGAGGAACUUUUGAUCUGCUAGAGAACAAAUGAUAGCAGCAGCACCCAGCACCCUGCCCCAGUUUUGCUUUAGUUACAAAAGUGAAUUGCUAAGCUUCAAAAAAUGGGUGCAUUUAAUGGUAGCAAAUAUUUGCAGAAUACAUAAUAAAGUAAUGGAUCCUAAUAACAUUAAUGAAGAACAAUUCUUGUAGGAAAGCCUAGAUUGGAAGAUUAUUUUCCUAAUGUGAAGAAGCUGUUUUAAAGGAACCUCGUGUUUAAAAUCCCUUAGGUAAUGGCUAGACUAGUUCCUGAAGGACAGCUUUAGCUAAUAUGGACACUUUAUAUCAAAGUUUGUCCUUUUCCCUAGAUAAAAAAUACAUUAAGGCAUGUAUUUUUUUUUCAUUUUUAUAAGUCCCCCCCCCAGGCAUAUACAUUUCUAGUUUGUUGCAGAGGCCAUAUUUUUUCUUACACUGCCAGUGUCUGUAAUUUGUAGCUGCCAAAUAGAUUUAAGAUGACGGAGCAAGGAGUGAAGACUUGUAUUGACAUAAGCUUGACUGUCCCUCUGAUUUCAUGUUAACAGGCAGUAUAGAAUAGACCACAAUAUUUUUCUCUGAAUUCCUCCCUCGAAACUCUGCUCUUCUUGGAGGUUGCAAAUGUUUGUGGGUAGCAAAACCAAAGGGUGGAAUCUAUGUCUGUGCUACUUAGUUUCUUCUUUCACAUAAAACAGGUUACUCAAGGGUCUGAUAAUGCAUGUGGGAGGAAUGUACUGAGAAUAAUGGGUAGCAAAGCCUAGAUCCUUGGAAAACCUACAAAAAGUUGUCUUAGAAAUGUAAGUUUAACUCACCUUGAUGAGUAGACGGUACAGGUCACAUUUACAUUUACUUCAUUGCACAAAUUAUGUAACAAUAUGAAAAAUCUUGCCCUGUAUAUAUCUGAAGUUUUCCAAAAGGCAGCUUGCUUUUAUAUCUAUGCAUCUUUGGGGGAGGGGAAGAAGGGUGUUAAAUUUAUUCUUUUGACACUGUAAACAAUAAUUGUUCAAAAAUGAACUUGGAAACUCUGCACCUGUAUACAAUUUUUUAGCAAUAAAGCAGCAUGGGCUGAGAAUGCACUAAAA